rnacentral:rRNA from 1 species
UACGUAGGGUGCGAGCGUUGUCCGGAAUUAUUGGGCGUAAAGAGCUUGUAGGCGGUCUGUCGCGUCUGCUGUGAAAAUCCGGGGCUCAACCCCGGACUUGCAGUGGGUACGGGCAGACUAGAGUGUGGUAGGGGAGACUGGAAUUCCUGGUGUAGCGGUGAAAUGCGCAGAUAUCAGGAGGAACACCGGUGGCGAAGGCGGGCCUCUGGGCCGAUACUGACGCUGAGGAGCGAAAGCGUGGGGAGCGAACAGG